UCAGUGACUAUAGAAAUGAAGCCAAGAACCAACGGGGGUCAAGGUCCCAGAAGUCCAAUGGUGUUCAGAGUGAGGGUCCUAACUGGGUCAUAAUUGCAGGUAGUGCGUUAUUAAGUACAUUAUCUGUACGCUUAGGCUACAAGCUGAAGCAGGUGCUUGAUUCAAGACGGCCGAACAAGACGACCAGCAGUUUGAAAGGAAAUGAAAAGUCUUCUGAUGGAAGUAAGUUAGGGAAUGGUUAUAUGCAGUCAAGCACUUACUAUUUUUCCCAAGAUGAUGAUGGCUGCUACAAUUGCAACACGGAAGCUGGAGGAUUGGGAAUUACAAAGCAGCAGUAUAAUGGGUCUGAGCCUGAAAUGGUGCUCCCUCUCGUGGCAGUUCCUGCCAUUGGAUUCAAUAAAGAGAAUGGUGGGAUUUGGUCAACCUCUCCUGACCGUCUUGAACUGCCACAGAAACCAUUUCAUCGCUCUAACAGCUCUGAGUCGCCAUGUGUCUCUGAAUCCGGUUCCGACAUAUACAGCAAGCGAGAAGUGAUACAAAAGCUGAGGCUACAGAUAAAGAGAAGGGACGAAACAAUAUUAGAGAUGCAAGAACAGAUUGUAGAGUUGCAAGCUUCUCUCAAUUCUCAGAUGUCGCAUUCCGCCCAUCAGCAGUCAGUGCUGGAUGCUGCAAACAGGGAUCUGUUUGAUUCAGAGAGAGAGAUACAGAGGCUGAGGAAGGCAAUUGCAGACCAUUGCGUUGGACAAGUGGGUACUUGCGAUAAGCCUCCAACAGUACCUGUAUGGCCAGCUGAAGUCCGGUAUGGUCAUACUAACGGUCACCUGGAUGUUGACAGAAACUCAGAUACUUCAGAGAAGGGAAGAGGAGAUGGAGAAAGGUUUGAAAUGCUGAAGCGCGAAAAAGAUGAGUUGAAAGAAGUGAUUGAUGGGAAGGAUUAUCUGAUCAAGAGCUACAAGGAGCAAACCACCGAGCUUUCAAUCAAGGUCAAGGAACUGCAACAGAGAUUGGAUGCUCAGCUCCCAAACAUUUUGUAGGCGUGCGUUAGAGUUGUGUAUUCUUUUUGUUUGCUUCCCAUUCCCUUGAUUGAUUUUAAGUUUCAUGAUAUGGGAAUUGCUAUUUUCUCAGUUUUAUCCCUACCUCCACCUUUCAUGUUUUGUGUUCAUCAUGUCGACGAACCAAUUUCCGAUAUACCUGCGUAGUGUUAGUAGAUUGAGUUUGAAGAUUGCCUCCUGUGUUGCUGAACAUGUAAAAAUGGUUCAUCAUGAAAAUUUUCAUCUAUAACUUUUGCUUAGCAGUUUGAUGAUAUCUGACUUUGUCAUCUCCAAAA